UUCUCUGACUUGUGAGCACGUCUGCUAGCCAAAGUCACCUGACUAUAUUAUUUGAACAGGAAAAGCUGUUGCAUCCAAGCUGGAAACAUUGUUAAGAUUUUCUGCGGAAACAAAUGGCUAUGGUUUUUCAUCAUGAGGGUCUGUAGCACAAGAGAUUUCAGUGCCUCCAGCCACACAGAACAAAACCCUUGUAUCCUGCAGCAGUGACCGGCAGUCAGCAAUGGCAUGGGGCUCAGAUGUUUGCAGAAUGCACUCCUGCAAGGUGUCCACCAGGAUAUUUGUUGUUACAGGCAAAUAAACAAUGGGUAACAGGAAAUGUCCUUUGGAUAAGGCAGCCCGGUGAUGUAUGACUGUGAAAGGAAGAGAAGACAAGGCUGGUAGUUUAAACAGAGAUGUUACAGGUCAGCUCUGGUGACUGCUGAGUUACCUGUUCUGGGAAGUGCUGCCAUUUGCCUGCUAGAAAUCAAAGCUGA